UUCUGUCAGGAGAAUCAAGACAGCAGUUCACACAUUGCCAAUGCUAGAAUAAACAUUUAAGUCCCUGCAGAGGUAAACUCUGAUACUGUUAAGACAUAUGCUCCACUAUAUCGGCUGUUACAAAAUCCUGACUUCUUUAUUUUUUGGUCAUGUGCAGUUGUGAAAUCGUUCCAUGCUGUUCUGCUACUUGAACUUUGUUCCACGGCUAAUCUGAAUAAACACAAAUUAUCUACCUGAUGGAAGAAAUUGGAUUGCGUUUCUGCAACUCAUCCAUGCAGAGCGUAUCCACUGACCUCAUCAAAAAGAGCUUCAGAGGAAAAUGGAGAAGAGAAUUCUUGGAAACAGCAGGUAAACGGUUACUGUAUGGCAAAUCCAAACAAAAGCCUAAGCCAACCUUUCCCAAUAGAUGUUCUACCUCAAAAACGGUCCUAAGUAAUUGCUGACAGAAGAAAAUUCUCUGAUCACAGGCGGCUUAUCAGAACAAACGGAAUGGGUGUUCAUCUGCUUUGCUUUAGAUCUGAUGCAGGUUAAUUCUUGCAUUGUUCAGAAUACAGUACACCGAGUUCCCAGGGCGUCAGCUCAUCUAUGAAUUUCCUGCGUACUCGCAGUUCCUGCCCAGGCAUGCUUUUUAAACCUCUAGUAAAAACUGUGGUAUCUUGCUCCUUCACUCCUCUGCUUGGAGCCUGUUCCCCCUGGUUUGCAGGCAUUCCCCCCUCCUGACCCUAUGAAACACCUAGAACCUGGGAAAAGGUUUAGAUUUCCACACGUACAUCCAAAGUCAUCAAAACAAAAUAGAUGGAUGAAAGUCACCCAUUUAAUUCUGAAACACGAUUUAAGGACGAGUGAUCACUAAUAUCAGAGCACUUUCCAGAACGUAUUACUGACUAAAACUUGCACAUCUUCUUCAUCAUCAGUCCCAGUAAAAAAUCUGGGACUGAUCAGCUGCUGAGAAGGGCUUUUUCUUCUAUUUAACACAUUUGUACACAGCAUUCCAACUAUUUCUAACCAACCAAGAAAGAUUUUACAUUAUAAUUCAAAUAGCAGAGGCAAAUUCAGCUCCUGGGAUUUAAAGCCUAUUUAAUUCAGAAAAAAGGCCAGAAUAGCAUUUGUCAACUUACUGAAACUUACCCAUUCACUUGGUUUAGCAAAAAUACGUCUUUACUGAAGCCGGUAGCUGUGACAACUUUUACCUCCUGCUUCAGGAUCAGUUCCUGGUUCUCUCUCCACUACUCUGUUUCGAAUUUCUACUUUUGAGUCUUAAUGAUAAAUCCACUGAAGAGAUAAGCACCAAAAUCUUGUUUCCCUUCGUCCUUGCUGAAGACUUCAAGACUGACUAUCAGAGCUCAACUUGAAUUUGUAGGACUGGCACCAGAUCACGGGAAAUAAUCCAGCACCUGCCAAUGAUGAAAUCCAGAUGCUUCCCUAUAGAAGUGAAUCACUGAAUUGAACUCGUCUUACCUAUGCGAAGGCUGUGCUUUAUAAUUAUAGUUUUCAAGAUAAAGAAACAUGAUAAGAGUCUGCUUUCUGAUCAGCUUCUCCACCCAGCUGUUCAGACACAAGAAGGUUCUGCGUGGUCACUGCUCCAUUUUCACCUCAACCACCCAAACCCAGCUUUCUAACAACAUCCCAAAUUGCAGCUGCUGGCUAAGCUGAGGCGGGAUAUUCAGAAAUGCAUGACUCUUCAAAUCAAAGCCUCUUUUAUGCAAGUAAAACUGAGGAUUUUUUCAGAUCUUUGGUUGUCUACAAGGAAGCAGAACUGCAGACAGAUUAGAAAGGUCAACACAUGCAAGAGCUGUAAAUCCCUGGCUGAAGGCGUUUUAUUGAAUCUUUGUAACCACAAGUGUGGAAAGCAACACCUUACAGAAAAGUGAGGAAAAUCCACAGACAGCAAUCAUGUGGUGCUGCUCCCUCACACCUUUUGGGGCAAAAACCUCUGAAGAGGAAACCCAUUUAACCCAAGCAUUAAUAUUCAUGUUUAUUAUCCUGUAAACAGUUUCAGCACUACUGUGAAACUGAGAUCUGCUUUAAGAUGCAAGAAGGAACAGAAACUAAAGAGUUGUUUAUAUCUUGUAAAGAGUUGUUGUUUUUCUUUCUUCCAGAAAAAAUGAAAGUUUCUCUCUCUGACCCACACUGUCCAUCCCUCACCUGCAGGUUUUAGCAGGAUCCCGAGAGGUUUGAGCAGCACCUGAAGGAGGAACAUGCAUCACCUGCACACACUAGCAUGGGGUGCCAUGAAGAAUCCCUUCCAUGGUGGUCAGAAAUCGAGGAACUAACUCAUUCCUGCCUCAUAUUAAGCACUCCCUUUUCUUAUUGUCCCCCCUUCUGUGCCUCUCCUGGCACACCACAGCCUCCUGGAGCAACAACACACCCGACAGCCUCGCUUAUCCCACAGGCUGACGCCAGAACCAGACAUCAGAGCGGAAACAAUGCCAAACAACAUUUUUGGGGCUGAGCGAGCUCUGCGAGGCUGCUUUUAGGUUACUUUAUUCAACGCGUCUCUUCGCUGCCGCCUUACAGCGAGCUGCAGCUGCGCAUGAGAGGAUCGCCACACCUUGCUGAGGGCUGAAAACACCGGGUGUUUCAACCCCUAAAAUAACUUUUAGGGUUAUUCUUCAGCGAGCCCCGGGGGCAGCUGUGGUCGGAUCAGGCCGAGCUGAGGUGCCUCCAGCCCGGCUGCCUCGGUCCCCCCUUGCCCCCACACGCCGCCAUCCCCGCGCCCCCUCACGGAGCGCCUCAAGCGGCGCCACCCCUCGGCGCCCCGCAGCCUCCCUCAGGGGUGGCGGCCGCUCCGGGCGGGCAGCCUCUCCCUUGGAGUCGUUUUUACCUGGCUUCUUCCCCCUCCACUCGGCCCACAGCAGCGUGAGGUCGCCAUCGGCCCGCAGCCAGCGGACCAGCUGCGCCAGCAGGGCCAGGAGGACUCCGCCCGCCAGCAGCUGGCACAGCCCGCAGCCCCACGACAUGGCUGACACCUCCCCUCCGCCUUCCUUCCCCUUCUCUUCCUGCUGCGCCCCUUAUGAGGUCCCCCGGCAGGCGAGAGCCGCCUCCUCCUCCCCGCCUUCCCGCCACGGUGUGGUAAUGCGGGUCCCCCCCGUCACGGUGUGGUAAUGCGGGUUGGCGCAGUCAAGGCUGCGGCGAUAAGGGCUGGGUUUAUAGGGCAGGGGCCGUGCGCGUGGCAGGGGCUGAAGGUUGUUUUCUGGGAGCCGGGGACUCUUUUUUCCCAACUUGACGUGCCCCCGAGGGGAGUGGAGGGCUGGCUGGCUUCGGGCUUGGAAACAGCGCUGGAUGCCGCACGUCCUCAGGCUGAACAGGCACUGGUUUGGGGUUGGUGCCUGGAGAGCAAAACCCAGUGCCCAGUACGAGGAGAGCCUCAGGGGGACACCUAUGAACCCCCUUCCCCUCAGGGGGACACCUAUGAAUCCUCUUUUCCUCAUGCUCCCCGGUGGCUCCCAGUGCACUUCUGCAGCUGGAAGUGCAGCACUGUCUUCCCCACCAAGGUCUGUUCAGCAAUCCUCCUCUUGGCCGAGCCUCCCCCUGUGCUGAAAGGAGGCAAACGCUUUGCCCAACACUUCAAACCUUGGUUUUAGACACUGGGCUCUGAAUGGAGUGGUGUGGGACAGCCACGAGUGCCAGAAACUGGCAUUUCAGAACAGUACCUCACCCUCACCUGCUGCUCUUCACCAUAGAUUUGCUAGUGCGUAAGUGCAGAGCUUGUAACUCGUGUAACCUUUGUGCUUCAAAGUCUUUUGCAGCAGCAGGCAGAUAUAAAAGGGGAACCCAUAGUAACUCAGGAACUUUGCUAUAUAAAGACAGUUGUGUGUCAUGA